UACGGCAGCUAGCUCUUUGCAAUUCUCACAUGGUCGCCCACUGAAGCUAAGCAGGGCUGCGCGCGGUCACUACCUGGAUGGGAGACCACAUGGGAAACUAGGUUGAUGCUGGAA
rnacentral:rRNA from 1 species